UGCGCAGGUGGGUUUGUAAGUCAGUGGUGAAAUACUGCCGCUUAACGGUAGAACUGCCAUUGAUACUGCGAAUCUUGAGUAUGGUUGAGGUAGGCGGAAUGUGUAGUGUAGCGGUGAAAUGCAUAGAUAUUACACAGAACUCCGAUUGCGAAGGCAGCUUACUAAUCCAUAACUGACGCUGAGGCACGAAAGCGUGGGGAGCGAACAGGAUUAGAUACCCUGGUAGUCC
rnacentral:rRNA from 1 species